GGGUACACGAGCGGCGAACGGGUGAGUAACACGUGAGUAAUCUGCCCUCCACUUCGGGAUAAGCCUCGGAAACGGGGUCUAAUACCGGAUAUGACCACUUCAUGCAUGUGAUGGUGGUGGAAAGUUUUUCGGUGGGGGAUGUGCUCGCGGCCUAUCAGCUUGUUGGUGGGGUAAUGGCCUACCAAGGCUUCGACGGGUAGCCGGCCUGAGAGGGUGACCGGCCACACUGGGACUGAGACACGGCCCAGACUCCUACGGGAGGCAGCAGUGGGGAAUAUUGGACAAUGGGCGGAAGCCUGAUCCAGCAACGCCGCGUGAGGGAUGACGGCCUUCGGGUUGUAAACCUCUUUCAGUGGGGACGAAGCGCAAGUGACGGUACCCACAGAAGAAGCACCGGCCAACUACGUGCCAGCAGCCGCGGUAAUACGUAGGGUGCGAGCGUUGUCCGGAAUUAUUGGGCGUAAAGGGCUCGUAGGCGGUUUGUCGCGUCGGGAGUGAAAACACUGGGCUUAACUCAGUGCUUGCUUCCGAUACGGGCAGACUAGAGGUAUUCAGGGGAGAACGGAAUUCCUGGUGUAGCGGUGAAAUGCGCAGAUAUCAGGAGGAACACCGGUGGCGAAGGCGGUUCUCUGGGA
rnacentral:rRNA from 1 species